rnacentral:rRNA from 1 species
GUAGGGGGCGAGCGUUGUCCGGAAUUAUUGGGCGUAAAGAGCGUGUAGGCGGCUUGGUAAGUCUGCUGUGAAACCCUGGGGCUCAACCCCGGGCGUGCAGUGGAUACUGCCAGGCUAGAGGGUGGUAGAGGCGAGUGGAAUUCCGAGUGUAGCGGUGAAAUGCGCAGAUAUUCGGAGGAACACCUGUAGCGAAGGCGGCUCGCUGGGCCAUACCUGACGCUGAGACGCGAAAGCGUGGGGAGCAAACAGGAUUAGAUACCCUGGUAGUCCACGCCGUAAACGAUGAUAACUAGCUGUCCGGUCACUUGGUGAUUGGGUGGCGCAGUAACGCAUUAAGUUAUCCGCCUGGGGAGUACGGCCGCAAGGUUA